rnacentral:rRNA from 1 species
GAUGAACGCUAGCGGCAGGCCUAAUACAUGCAAGUCGAACGGUGUCUUCGGACAUCGUGGCGCACGGGUGCGUAACACGUAUGCAACCUACCUUACACUGGGGGAUAGCGUUUCGAAGGGGCGAUUAAUAUCGCAUAAGACAGUAGUGUGGCAUCAGACAGCAGUCAAAGAUUUACCGAUGUCAGCCGGGCAUGCGUCCUAUCAGUUAGAUGGGGGGGUAACGGCUAACCAAGACUAUGAUUGGUAUGAGAACUGAGAGGUCAAUCCCCCACACUGGCACUGAGAUACGGGCCAGACUCCUACGGGAGGCAGCAGUAGUGAAUAUUGGGCAAUGGACGCAAGUCUGACCCAGCCAUGCCGCGAGCAGGAAGAAGGCGUUAUGCGUUGUAAACUGCUUUUACACAGGAAGAAACGACUCUUGCGAGAGGCAUUGACGGUACUGUAUGAAUAAGCACCGGCUAACUCCGUGCCAGCCGCCGCGGUAAAAC